rnacentral:lncRNA from 1 species
ACCCAAAAAGAAAAGAAGAGACCUUGACCAAUUUGACCCUGAAACCCUUCUCUGCACAUCAUCGCUGUACACCGCCGCCUGCAAGCCACCGACAACCUGUCCCACUCCGAGUGUGUCUCGCCGUCGCAUCGCCGCCGCAAGACGCUACCACCGCCAACAAGCUGUCCUCCACCGCCUCAUUUCCUCUAUAAAUAGGAACCGACCUGCAAUAAUUCCGGCCAACAAAAAUAAUCUCAAAAAUCCAAAACCAACACCGCCCUCCACCGUGUCCCACCACUCCAACCACCGCUAGCACCACAGAAGGCCCCAAUCGUUUCUCCGCUACUUCUCCGGCGACACCCGCUUCCCAGGUCGUUUCACUUUCGAAGCUAAGGUUGUCACGACCCCCUUAAAGAACAAGUCUGACGUUAUUGUGGAUCAUCUUUUGAGGUUCACAGGAUAAUCAGGGCGGGGUGUGAAAGAGAGAAGAAUUAGCUCUAGGAUUUUGGGAAAAGAAAAAGUUAGCCAUUUUUGUAGCACAUGCUAGUUUAUCAAAAUUGGGCAUUUUAUAAUAUGUAAUAAACAAUAUAACUCUAGGGCUAUGUGUUGUCUUUUGUUUUGACUACUGUAAUAGUGACACGUCACUCCAUUCUGGGGUGGGGUGUUACAGUUAGGUUGGGUAAUUACGUGUUAAAUUAAAAUAAUAGAUAAUUGAAUGGAAAUUCAGGGUUAUUGCGGGUACAAUAUAAAGUAACACAUAUGUUAUAACACAACAUCUUAGCAUGAUGUCAUAAAAAGAAAUUUGCAAAAACACCUACACGCCUUGUACAUGAAAAUGUUUAUAAAUACAACUUGCAUGUCCAUUUUUAUAUGUUAUAAUCACGAGUCACAGAAUUUUAAAGAUACAUAAAAUGGUGAAAGCAAAAGAAUCACUCUUGAUGGUUUUAUGCAUAAGCUUUCUUAUGUUAUCAACAUGUUACUACGGUGA